ACGGCAGCCCGUCUCCCGUUAGGAGCCGGGGAGGCAAGGUCCAGCGUACGGUCCGGGGGAACCUUAACUGUCGUUUCUGUGCCUGGACAGUAGGUUGGAGAGUGGGGUCUGAAUGAGCUACAGUAGUGAACGCCGACGGCUUGUGUUGAGGGCAGGAAAGGGUGCACACAGCUCCGGCAGGUGCUUCCGCGAGAAAGGUGACUGAUACAACAACGUAGAGGACCCUGCAAUGUGGAGAGGCAUGAAACUGGAGGUCCAGUGCCGUGAGUUAACAAUCAAGACGUCCAUACAGGAGAUGCAUUGGUGGAUGGGUGAAGAGAUGAUAAAACGGUACGUAUAAUAAAAUGCUGGCCGGGCGCGGUGGCUCACGCCUGUAAUCCCACCACUUUGGGAGGCUGAGGUGGGUGGAUCACGAGGUCAGGAGUUUGAGACCAGCCUGACCAACAUGGUGAAACCCCGUCUCUACUAAAAAUACAAAAAUUAGUUGGGCGUGGUGGCACGCGCCUGUAAUCCCAGCUACUCAGGAGGCUGAGGCAGGAGAAUUGCUUGAAUCGAGGAGGCGGAGGUUGCAGUGAGCCGAGAUUGCGCCACGGCAAU
ensembl:lncRNA RBM33-DT RBM33 divergent transcript